rnacentral:tRNA from 1 species
GGAGCAGUGGUCGAGUGGCUUAAGACAGCGGCCUUGAAAGCCGCCGUGGGCGAAAUCCCACCGUGAGUUCGAAUCUCACCUGCUCCGCCA